UUGAGACUGGUCGAAUAGAUGGUCCCUUAGGGAUUGAUUAUUAUGAACCACAUGUGGAUGAUUCACCGUCAGCCAAAUUUAGUCCAAACUGGUUUACAUUGCUUUGUCUAGAUCCACAAGGUAAGCAUAAGGAGCUUCUAAACGAUAACCCACCUAGACAAGCAUACCCAUCUCGACCUAUUCCUCCCCUAGUAAUUCUACAGCUGCACAUACUGUCACACUUGAGGACAUAUAUUGCACACAGCAACAGCAUUCAAAGUAAGUCAAUUGCUUACAGCAGUAGCAGGACCGUAUGAAGGCAUAUUUACUGCAGUUAUGCCAACACUUUCAUCUUUCAUCACCAGUACGCACGACUAACCCAGAGCCUCUUGAUCAUGAUAUUCCUCGCGAUGUCGAUUAGUGAUUCUACCUAGUUUUAUCUUCUACCUAGUUUUAUCUUUUAUUUAUCAUUUUUUUUAUUUGUACUUUUUUAUUGUUAUUUUUUCUUCUUCUUUUCCAAAUUGCUAUAUUUUUUAUGCACUUUAUUAUUGUUGCUAUUUCAAUUGUUUUUUUUUGUUUAUUCUGUUACCUUUUUAUCUUAUUUUACUUUUGUCUAUUUUCUUAUUACUAUGCAUGGACUCAUGUAAUUAAUUUAGGAUUUCCUAUGUUUUUAGAUUUCACUAUCUCGGCCCAUUCAUCCAAAUUUAGGGCAGUUCCAAUUCUCUUCCUCCCUUUCUUAUAAUGCUUUGCUUAUUGUGAUUAAUUUUGUUUGUAUAUUGAGGGCAAUAUCCAUCUUAAGUGUGGGGAGAAUUUUAUAUGUUAUGUGAUAUAGUCAUUGAAUUGUUGUUUGUGAUAUAGUCAUUAAAUAAUCUCCUUAAGUCUUAUAUUAGAGUUAAUUUUUCUAAAUUUGGAGUUUUUAUUGUUCUGUUUGGGAUUAAUUUAUGGAUUUUUAUGCUUGGUGUUAUUUAUAAUUUAAGACACGAGAGAGUCAAGCAUGAUAAGUCAUUUUUAGAAAACUAUUAUUUUAGGUUGUCUCUCUGAACUGAAGCAUUAUCUUAAAUUUUAAAUUUCUAAGUUUGACAUCAAAACCAUAAAUUUUUUGUGAGCUUUUUAGCCUAUAAAGCAUCUACUUUUUCAUGCUCAUUUUAUUUUGGUUGUGAGUAUAUCAAUUAUAUUUGUUAUUCUAGAACUUGUUUCAGUUAUACAUAUCGAGACCACAUUAUCGAUUUAAUAUGCUGAGAUGAUAGAGGCACUUAGGGUUUAACCUUAAAAUAGUUUACCUAUUGUAUUAUCCUCUAGUAAGCCUCAUUGACUCUAAUCCAUUUUUUUACUUAUCACUCAUUUAUGUGAACCUGAAAACCACAUUAAUUUUGUAAAUCACCAUUUUUAUUGACUCCCUUUUUGUCAAGAUUCAAUUUGGUUAGUUGCUUGAAUCGUUACUCUCACCUUUUGUAUAAAAGCUCACAUCUGCUCUUUAUUUCAAAUUGAUUUAAAUUCUUUUAAUUCAGCAGUUGAUUUUUUUGGUUUAGUAACCUAUCAAUUCGACUCACGAUUGUAAACACCUUUUAUGACCUUUUUCGUACCCUUAACGUAAGCCCCGUUAAGCGAGCCUAUGAUAAUAACACUUCUUGUUUGACUAUUGAGUGUACAUUAAUUGAACUUUAAACACUUUGAGUGCUUUGAGUGAACCUUAGUGAGGGUGUUAAUUCUUGUUGAGUUUGAAUUUCAAGUAAAUAUUGAGAAAAGAGAGACGCCUAUAUUUUUAAGCCUUAAAAUUUUCUACUUGGAUUGCUUGUGCUUUAUAGUGUCAUUUUAGUUUAAAUUUUUAAUGCAUAAUUAUUUGCAGAUUACCCUAAGACAUUGUCGAUGAAAAUAAUAAAUUAAGGGAAGUUAACAUGAAUAUGGGUUGAGAAUUUUGCUUAAGGACAAGUAAACAUUUAAGUUUUGGGAUAUUUGAUAAGUGCUAAAAGUAACAUGUUUUAACCUCAUUCUUAACGCGUUUUGGGUUAUUAUCUGAUGUUAAUUGUGAAUUUUAUACGCCUAAUCCUUUAAAUUAAUGUUUCAAUGCUUAAUAGAGUGCUUGAGAGCAAAAGAAGCGAAAAAAUAAUCGAAAACUGGAGCGUCGAAGCAAGUUGAAGGAGCCACGCAAGCUAUACCUUUUCAUACGGUUAAACCACACGGGUGUGUGAUAGACCGUGUUGAUUUCACAGGAUUGCGCAUUGAACAGUAGAAAAUCACGAUUUUUAGGUUUUUCAGGCAGUCUAAUAUAUAUAUAUGACAAAAAUAAAAUAUAUGAGAGGGGCGUCAAAUAAACUCAAGAAAACAACUCGAAAAAUACCAUUGAAGUCGACUUUGAAGCAGAUUUCCAUCAAGAUUGAAGAUUCCUAGUUGAUUUCUUAGGAAGUUAUCAUGAGUUUCUUUUAUUCUUUCAGUUAUACUGUAUAUUUGAUUUUUCUCUUUUCGAGCAUGAACUAAUUUUCUAAAUACAUAUGGGAGAUAAACCCUACAAUGAAUUAUGUCGUUUUAUUUCUAUUUUACACAAUAAAUACUUAGUUUCUUGUUCUCAAUUAUGUGUGCUUAAUUCUUGGUUUGAUAUUUCUAGAGUAUUAAUCCAUGUUCGAUGUGCUUAAAUCGGUGGUUGAAGAAAACCUGUUUAAGAUUAGAUCUUGCGUAAUUGAGUGGAAUUGCAUACAAUCCUAGAAAUAGGACAACAUAAAUCUAUCGAAUUAGAGUCAAAUCUAAUAGGGGAAUCCAUAGCACAAGUUAGUGUAAUAAUAGGGGUUUAAAUUAGAAAGAAAUUUCAAUUAAUCAACCUAGAGUGAGUUGCUCUGAUGCUCAAAAGAGAUAUUAACAUAAUUUAGAAAUUUCUAUGAAUUAAAG
rnacentral:lncRNA from 1 species